AUUUCCCCAAUGGGUUCUCCGGAUUUCUGGAGACUUGUAGGGGUUGUGGGUUUUUCGAUGUGUCGUCUCCGGACGGGCGGUGCAGGGUAGUCGAGUUGGACUUGGUGGAAUUCGGUUUAUUCGAAUCCGUCGAGUCUGGCUGGCACGAUCGUGUGCGGCUGUGUGCUGGACGGUGUAGGGUAGGCUGCUUGGACAUGGUCGGUUCGAGGAUCGAUUCGAGGGCCGGCCUGUCGAUGAUGUGUGAUGUAUGCGGUCUAGGGUAGGCUGGUUUGUCUUGGUCCAAUUUGAUGUCGGCUCCCGUGCAGACCAGAGUGAGGGCGGUCCAGGGUAGGUCCAGGGUAGGCAGCUUAGAUUUGAUCGAUCUGGAGGUCGAUUCUCCGGCUGGCGGAUCUGACACUGUCGAAACGAGAUGCGAGCGGUGUAGGGUAGGCCAGUUUUGUCGUCGCCAGGUUGCGAUUCGGACGAGAUAUGUGGUCUAGGGUAGGGUCUAGGGUAAGUAGAGUUCGAGUUUCGUCGCCAACAGUUUGCUGUAUGUGUAGGGUAGGUGCAGGGUAAGCAAAUCUCUCUCUGGCCAGACGGUUUUGCGGUCUGGUGGUUGUGAGUCGAUUUUUUUGUUUU
rnacentral:misc_RNA from 1 species